GAGUUUGAUCCUGGCUCAGAACGUACGCUGGCGGCACGCCUAACACAUGCAAGUCGAACGAAGUAGCAAUACUUAGUGGCAGACGGGUGAGUAACAUGUAGGUAUCUGCCCUUUGGCCUGGAAUAACACGAGGAAACUUGUGCUAAUACCGGAUAAGUCUUUACGGAGAAAGCUUUAUGCACCAUUGGAUGAGCCUGCACUUGAUUAGUUUGUUGGUGGGGUAAUGGCCUACCAAGACUGUGAUCAAUAGCUGAUUUGAGAGGAUGAUCAGCCACAUUGGGACUGAGACACGGCCCAAACUCCUACGGGAGGCAGCAGUGGGGAAUCUUGCACAAUGGAGGAAACUCUGAUGCAGCGAUGCCGCGUGAGUGAAGAAGGCCUUUGGGUUGUAAAGCUCUUUCGUCGGGGAAGAAAAUGACUGUACCCGAAUAAGAAGGUCCGGCUAACUUCGUGCCAGCAGCCGCGGUAAUACGAAGGGACCUAGCGUAGUUCGGAAUUACUGGGCUUAAAGAGUUCGUAGGUGGUUGAAAAAGUUGGUGGUGAAAUCCCAGAGCUUAACUCUGGAACUGCCAUCAAAACUUUUCAGCUAGAGUAUGAUAGAGGAAAGCAGAAUUUCUAGUGUAGAGGUGAAAUUCGUAGAUAUUAGAAAGAAUACCGAUUGCGAAGGCAGCUUUCUGGAUCAUUACUGACACUGAGGAACGAAAGCAUGGGUAGCGAAGAGGAUUAGAUACCCUCGUAGUCCAUGCCGUAAACGAUGUGUGUUAGACGUUGGAAAUUUAUUUUCAGUGUCGCAGCGAAAGCGAUAAACACACCGCCUGAGGAGUACGACCGCAAGGUUAAAACUCAAAUGAAUUGACGGGGACCCGCACAAGUAGUGGAGCAUGUGGUUUAAUUCGAAGAUACGCGCAGAACCUUACCAACACUUGACAUGUUCGUCGCGACUCUAAGAGAUUAGAGUUUUCGGUUCGGCCGGACGAAACACAGGUGCUGCAUGGCUGUCGUCAGCUCGUGUCGUGAGAUGUUGGGUUAAGUCCCGCAACGAGCGCAACCCUCACUUUUAGUUGCCAUCAUUAAGUUGGGCACUAUGAAAGAACUGCCAGUGAUAAGCUGGAGGAAGGUGGGGAUGACGUCAAGUCCUCAUGGCCCUUACGUGUUGGGCUACACACGUGCUACAAUGGUAUCUACAACAGGAAGCAAGACUGCGAGGUCAAGCAAAUCCUUAAAAGAUACCUCAGUUCGGAUUGCACUCUGCAACUCGAGUGCAUGAAGCUGGAAUUACUAGUAAUCGUGGAUCAGCGUGCCACGGUGAAUGCGAUCCCGGGUCUUGUACACACCGCCCGUCACACACCGCCCGUGC
rnacentral:rRNA from 1 species